GACGAACCGUGCGAACGUUGUUCGGAAUCACUGGGCUUAAAGGGUGCGUAGGUGGGCUGGUAAGUCAGUGGUGAAAUCUCCAGGCUUAACUUGGAAACUGCCAUUGAUACUAUUAGUCUUGAAUACCGUGGAGGUCAGCGGAAUAUGUCAUGUAGCGGUGAAAUGCUUAGAUAUGACAUAGAACACCAAUUGCGAAGGCAGCUGGCUACACGAAUAUUGACACUGAUGCACGAAAGCGUGGGGAUCAAACAGG
rnacentral:rRNA from 1 species